rnacentral:rRNA from 1 species
AUGCGAUUCUUCGCCCGCCCCCUGAUGGAGCACAAAAUCGCCGUCAGAUUCGACUACCUGGACGAGGACGUCCCCCGCCCAGCCUACCACCAUCUGGAAGUGCUGGAUCACCGCAACGGCCUGCUCUUGCUCAGGGACUGGGUGGUUAACCCGGCGACCCGGCAGUGCACGCCCUUGCCCCCGCCCCCGCCUCUACGCGCGGGGAUGGAAGCUUUCUUUGACACCAGAUACCUUGUGUUUGAUCCCGCUGUAUCGCCGCACUACCAUGUGUUUUCGAUCCCUGAAGUCUCUCUCAGAACUGACGCUGACCGUGUUCUCCUCGACAACACGGAGGUGGGAGGUGAGGUCUUUUGUUCGAGAAGGAGAAGCGGCCACACGGACUACCAUAGCCGACAUCAACUUCUCUCCUCGGAAGCACCGCUACGCCGUCUACUGGCGGGAUGCGCUUUAUGUGCAUUCCGAAGACGAUUCCAUUAUACGCAUAACCUUGUCCACCCAUAA